rnacentral:lncRNA from 1 species
AAUUUUGGAUUUUUUCUCCAACAAUCCCCCACAAAAAAUUCAAAAUUUCAAAAAAAGAAUUAAACUCAAAAACAAAAUAAAUAAAUGAAUAAAUCGCCGGGUGUUUAUACUAUGCAGUAGGUAAGGUGUCUUUAAGAGGCUUAACCUCACUUAGUGUAAAUAGUUUCCAUCAGAAGGAAUCGGAGUGAACCAGGUCUUGUACUACAUUCCUUUGACCCUGACUUCAACUACCACACACAGAGUACAGAAUUCUCCGUCGCGGGUCUGUGCGUUAAUGGUCAUGCACAGUACCUUGAUUUUUCAUAAAAGUUUCUAUGUAUAGCCCAUUCACAUAGCCGUGGCCACAUACGGAUACUCUUAUAUAGGUGGUUUCCUCUAGGGAUGUGUGUAGAGUCACAUCUCGCAAAAAUUAUCGCCUUGGAUCCUAUUAAGAGCUCCCAGCUCAACCUAAUCCACUAUACAGAGCACUACUCACCAUAGGAAUGGAAUUUGAGCUAAAGCUCCUUUAUAAAAUUUGUAGAAAGUGCUUUUGGCCAACCUGACAGCUUAUUUUUAUCACAUUGAACCUUCUUCAAGUGAUCUCCUAUCACAAAGGUUGGGUUCCUACUGCAGGAAGGCCCUUUACGGGCAAAGUCCCAUCCCCCUCGAUGACUGUAGGACCUUAGUCCUAUUCAGACCUUUCAUCAAAUAAUCUGUAAAAUUCUAUUCAGAUCAGAUAAAACUCAAAUAAGUAAUAUCAUGAAAAUAACCAUCUAAUAAAUUUAUGUCUCAAUAUAAUUUAUAUGCCAACUUUAGA